UGAUACUUCAUUGGGGAGUAGCCGCUAUUUACGCAAAGUAAAUAGGUGAUGGUCAACAUAAUUGUCCUAAAACGGGCAUGGUCAUCAUAGCAAAGAACCAAAUGAGCUUUUUCUAAAAGCUUUCUUUUGUUGGCAAGACCUUUGAU
rnacentral:sRNA from 2 species